CCGGCGUAGGUUUCAAGGGGUGAAACGCUCAUCCGCGGGGAAGCCCGGUAAAUAUCCAAAAAGGACGGGGACAGAAAUGGCAGGUUCGAUUCCUGCACGCCGGA
rnacentral:tRNA from 1 species